AUACGGAGGGUGCAAGCGUUAUUCGGAAUCACUGGGCGUAAAGGACGCGUAGGUGGGUUGGCAAGUCAGAUGUGAAAUCCUACAGCUUAACUGUAGAACUGCAUUUGAAACUGCUAACCUAGAGUAUGGGAGGGGGAGAUGGAAUUAGUGGUGUAGGGGUAAAAUCCGUAGAUAUCACUAGGAAUACCGAAAGCGAAGGCGAUCUCCUGGAACAUAACUGACGCUAAGGCGUGAAAGCGUGGGGAGCAAACAGGAUUAGAAACCCUAGUAGUCC
rnacentral:rRNA from 1 species